rnacentral:rRNA from 1 species
GAUGAACGCUAGCUACAGGCUUAACACAUGCAAGUCGAGCGAAGCACUCGGAAGUUUUCGGACAGAAGAGUGACUGAGCGGCGGACGGGUGAGUAACGCGUGGGUAACCUGCCUCAUACAGGGGGAUAACAGUUAGAAAUGACUGCUAAUACCGCAUAAGCGCACAGAACCGCAUGGUUCGGUGUGAAAAACUCCGGUGGUAUGAGAUGGACCCGCGUCUGAUUAGGUAGUUGGUGAGGUAACGGCCCACCAAGCCGACGAUCAGUAGCCGACCUGAGAGGGUGACCGGCCACAUUGGGACUGAGACACGGCCCAA